rnacentral:lncRNA from 1 species
UAGAUCUUCACUUCUGUCUACCCUGGUCGAUUAUGCAAACUUUAAUCCUUUCCCAUGUCUACUGUGAUGUUCAUCAAAAUAAGAUAUGAUCAAGGUACAAAAGAGUUAAAGAAGCUAUUUAUUUUAAUGUUUCCUUGGAGAGCACACUUGUUAUUUGAGCUCAAGAUGUCUUUGUUGAAACAGAACCUCCCGAAGUUACAGUAUUGGUUUUGGGGCUCCACACAGAGAACACAUCGCGGAAGCUAUAACUGAGGGAGACAAAGCUGUCAGGACGACACCAAGAGAGUUAGAAAGCCCAAGAGUGGAGCAUUCUUCCCCAUGAUUCCACCUGACACUUGGCUGAAAGCAUUUUGCACUAAUUUGCUUUGUGCCCAUUCAGACAAUCUAAAAAGAAAGGAUGGGGG